rnacentral:lncRNA from 13 species
UAGUGUCUAAUCAAUAAAAGAGAAAAAGAAUGAAAUGGUUUUCUAUGACAAUCAACACUGACUCCUGUCGCACAUCAGGGGUGCUUUCCAGCUACGACACAGUUUAGGUACUUCACCUCCAAUUUUGACGAAAUUUGGUUCAUAAUAAUCGAAGAUGAAGUAUGUACCCAUGAUCUUGGUAAGGAAACAAUGCAAGUGGAAGACGGAAAACAAAAUUUGAGAUGCGCGCACACAUACUUGGCACCUUUUUUUACCUUUUUUGAAAAGGUAAUAAU